rnacentral:rRNA from 1 species
UAAGACGUAGGGGGCGAGCGUUGUCCGGAUUCAUUGGGCGUAAAGCGCGCGUAGGCGGCCCGGUAAGUCGGGUGUGAAAUCCUGGGGCUCAACCCCAGGACUGCACUCGAUACUGCCAGGCUAGAGGUAGGUAGGGGAGAUCGGAAUUCCUGGUGUAGCGGUGAAAUGCGCAGAUAUCAGGAGGAACACCGGUGGCGAAGGCGGAUCUCUGGGCCUUACCUGACGCUCAGGCGCGAAAGCUAGGGGAGCGAACAGGAUUAGAUACCCUGGUAGUCCUAGCUGUAAACGUUGGGUGCUAGGUGUGGGCGGAUAUCGACCCCGUCCGUGCCGAAGCUAACGCAUUAAGCACCCCGCCUGGGGAGUACGGCCGCAAGGCUA